rnacentral:rRNA from 1 species
AACGAACGCUGGCGGCAUGCCUAACACAUGCAAGUCGAACGAGACCUUCGGGUCUAGUGGCGCACGGGUGCGUAACGCGUGGGAACCUGCCCUUAGGUUCGGAAUAACUCCCCGAAAGGGGUGCUAAUACCGGAUAAUGUCUUCGGACCAAAGAUUUAUCGCCUUUGGAUGGGCCCGCGUUGGAUUAGCUAGUUGGUAGGGUAAAAGCCUACCAAGGCGACGAUCCAUAGCUGGUCUGAGAGGAUGAUCAGCCACACUGGGACUGAGACACGGCCCAGACUCCUACGGGGGGCAGCAGUGGGGAAUAUUGGACAAUGGGGGAAAGCCUAAUCCAGCAAUGCCGGGUGAGUGAUGAAGGCCUUAGGGUUGUAAAGCUCUUUUACCCGGGAUGAUAAUGACAGUACCGGGAAAAUAAGCUCCGGCUAACUCCGU